AAGUCGUAACAAGGUUUCCGUAGGUGAACCUGCGGAAGGAUCAUUAAUGAAUAUAAGAGGACUCAGUCUCUGGGCCUCGACCUUCAUUUAUCAAACACUGUGCACCGUGAGCGAACGCAUGGCCCUUGAUCGGGUUGUGUUACUAGCUCUUUUUUCUUAUCAAACACAAGUCUUUGUAUGUGAAAUCUAUAAACAAAUAAAACUUUAAACAACGGAUCUCUUGGUUCCC
rnacentral:misc_RNA from 1 species